GACGAACGCUGGCGGCGUGCUUAACACAUGCAAGUCGAACGGAAAGGCCUCUUUCGGGGGGUACUCGAGUGGCGAACGGGUGAGUAACACGUGAGUAACCUGCCCUUGACUUUGGGAUAACUUCAGGAAACUGGGGCUAAUACCGGAUAGGAGUUCCUGCUGCAUGGUGGGGGUUGGAAAGUUUCGGCGGUUGGGGAUGGACUCGCGGCUUAUCAGCUUGUUGGUGGGGUAGUGGCUUACCAAGGCUUUGACGGGUAGCCGGCCUGAGAGGGUGACCGGCCACAUUGGGACUGAGAUACGGCCCAGACUCCUACGGGAGGCAGCAGUGGGGAAUAUUGCACAAUGGGUGGAAGCCUGAUGCAGCAACGCCGUGUGCGGGAUGACGGCCUUCGGGUUGUAAACCGCUUUCGCUCAUGACGAAGCUUUGUGUGACGGUAGUGGGUAAAGAAGCACCGGCUAACUACGUG
rnacentral:rRNA from 1 species